GGGGGAUAACAGUUGGAAACGACUGCUAAUACCGCAUACGCCCUACGGGGGAAAGGAGGGGACCUUCGGGCCUUUCGCGAUUGGAUGAACCCAGGUGGGAUUAGCUAGUUGGUGGGGUAAUGGCUCACCAAGGCGACGAUCCCUAGCUGGUCUGAGAGGAUGAUCAGCCACACUGGAACUGAGACACGGUCCAGACUCCUACGGGAGGCAGCAGUGGGGAAUAUUGCACAAUGGGGGAAACCCUGAUGCAGCCAUGCCGCGUGUGUGAAGAAGGCCUUCGGGUUGUAAAGCACUUUCAGCGAGGAGGAAAGGUUGGCGCCUAAUACGUGUCAACUGUGACGUUACUCGCAGAAGAAGCACCGGCUAACUCCGUGCCAGCAGCCGCGGUAAUACGGAGGGUGCAA
rnacentral:rRNA from 1 species